UUAAGUGAAUUUGGGGAUUUUUUUGCUAAUGUAAUUUACUCUCAAUUUGUGGAUUUUUUUUGCUAAAUCGUUAAUUUCAUAUGCUAAUAUAGUAAUAUACAUUACGAAUUUACUUCUCAAGUUCUCAAUUUGGGGAUUUUUUUUGCUAAAUCGUUAAUUUCAUAUUUUCAUAUGCUAAUAUAGUAAUAUACAUUACGAAUUUACUUCUCAAGUUCUCAAUUUGGGGAUUUUUUUUGCUAAAUCGUUAAUUUCAUAUUUUCAUAUGCUAAUAUAGUAAUAUACAUUACGAAUUUACUUCUCAAGUUCUCAAUUUGGGGAUUUGUUUUGCUAAAUUGUAGAAUUCCAUAUGCUAUUUGACCGUAUAUUUGACUAAUUUGAGUAUUUGAGCCGUAAUGCCGUAUAAUAGUAUAAUUUCUGCUUAAUUUAUACUGAUUUAUUACUUGAUUAUUUCUGAUAUUCUUUUUCAUUGAUAAUUUGAUAUUGUCAUAUUGAUUAUUGAAUUUAUCAUUCAUUCAUUGAUUUCAUUCUGCAAUCUGCAUUUAUCAUGUGUGAGUAGGACUGUAGCAGACUAGUAGUAUAUGCCAUUAUACCAUGAGUUUAGAGUCAUUUUGGAAACGUGUCGGGAAGUCACAAAAGUCUUCAACUUGUUCUUCACCUAGUUAAUUACAAUUUCAAACUUCCGAAGUUUCGAACCCACACUUCAAAAAUCCUGGAGACGCCACUGUCCAUCCCAAGCUUUUUCGUUUGAUUUCUUCUCCUUCCUCCUCUCAUUCGCUCAAUUUGUCGUUCUUUCUCCUUUCUCCCUCCCUCCCUCUCUCUUCUCAAAGAUGAAAGUGUAGCCGCAGAAGAUCACAUCCACAACUAUAAAAAAAAAAAAUGGCAGAAGAUCACGAACUAGAUGAGAGAAAAGAUGGAAUAGUGGUUGUGUUCGAUACUCCGAUUUUAAGCUCAAUUUCGCCUAUCAAACCCUAAUUUAUCUCAUGAAACUAAAACACUUUCAGGGUUUCAAGCUCAACAAACUAUUAGUAUAGAUGACGCAAGUGUGAAAAUAUAGAGAAUGGCAGGAAGCAUAAGUUUACCGUCACGAAUACUCUCCUUUUUUGUGGGCAGCGAUCGUUAAAUCCGCCCUUUGCAACACCCUUUUUCGCUCUUGUCCAGGUCCCUCUUUCUCUCUCUCUUACACUUUGUCUUUUGCUUUCAUUGUAUAUUGCUCAACUAAAUUACUGAUUCACCACUUUAGUACUUCUAUUUCAACUUUAAUUUGAUUUCUUUUACUGUUUGUGCUUAAUUGUUGAUUGGAUUAGUUUAAUAUGUAGUAUUCUCUAUGUAUAUUGCAAAAAUAUGAUUGUUAAAUUAAUUUUUGAUUGUAAAUGGAAAAUGAAGCCUAUUAGUUUUAAUUUAAUGGAGUUGUAGGGUGUUAAUUACAAUCUGACAACGUAUUUUGUUAGUUAUGUAUACAAAUAUUGAUGUUGAAUUGGUUAUUGGAUGUAGAUUGCAGAGUAUAUCUUGAGAUAUGGCAAUUUGUGAGUUUGGGGAUAUGGUCUUAGGUUUGAGGAGUUUGACCAUAGGUUUGAGGAGUUUGAAGAGAAAAUCGCACUGCUUUCACAAUGAUAAAUCAACUUGAGUACUUACGAGUUUGCAAAGUCGUGGUUAAAAGUUUGGAAACUAAUAUAUUCUUAUUUAUACAAUGAUUUUAUUGAUUUAGAUACUCUACUGCACUUUGUCAUAAUUGUUAAAUUCAUCUUUUAUCAGAUAAAUGUUAGGAAAACUAGAUUAAUGAAGAACAAUUUGAAUUGUUUUCAAUGUCAGGUACACCAGUCCUACAGACAACAUAUUAUCUCCUAUAUCUAAAGGUCUUCUUGCUCAAAAAAGCCAAAGAGGCGGCGCACUCUUGCCACCCUCCAUCAUUCAGUCUAAGGUUUUGAUGCUUUCUUGAUGCUUCUACUGCUCUUACCUGUUGCUGUUGUUGCUGUUCCGCUUAUGUGCUCCUGUUGUUCUGCAUAUGUGCUCCUGCUGUUCUGCAUAUGUGCUGCUGCUGUUCUGCUUUUGUGCUGCUGCUGCUGCUGCUGUUCUGUUUCCGAGCUGCUGCUGUUCUGUUUUCGAGCUGCUGCUUUUCUUUUUCCAAGCUCUUGUUGUUCUGUUUCCAAGUUGCUGCUGUUUUGUAUAUUGUAAUUUUUUUUUGUAUAAAAUUGUAAUAUUACAAGCAUUUAUUAAUAAAAAUAUCUAAG